rnacentral:rRNA from 1 species
AACGUACGCUGGCGGCACGCCUAACACAUGCAAGUCGAACGAAGUAGCAAUACUUAGUGGCAGACGGGUGAGUAACAUGUGGGUAUCUGCCCUUUGGCCUGGAAUAACACGAGGAAACUUGUGCUAAUACCGGAUAAGUCUUUACGGAGAAAGCUUUAUGCACCAUUGGAUGAGCCCGCACUUGAUUAGUUUGUUGGUGGGGUAAUGGCCUACCAAGACUGUGAUCAAUAGCUGAUUUGAGAGGAUGAUCAGCCACAUUGGGACUGAGACACGGCCCAAACUCCUACGGGAGGCAGCAGUGGGGAAUCUUGCACAAUGGAGGAAACUCUGAUGCAGCGAUGCCGCGUGAGUGAAGAAGGCCCUUGGGUUGUAAAGCUCUUUCGUCGGGGAAGAAAAUGACUGUACCCGAAUAAGAAGGUCCGGCUAACUUCGUGCCAGCAGCCGCGGUAAUACGAAGGGACCUAGCGUAGUUCGGAAUUACUGGGCUUAAAGAGUUCGUAGGUGGUUGAAAAAGUUAGUGGUGAAAUCCCAGAGCUUAACUCUGGAACUGCCAUUAAAACUUUUCAGCUAGAGUAUGAUAGAGGAAAGCAGAAUUUCUAGUGUAGAGGUGAAAUUCGUAGAUAUUAGAAAGAAUACCAAUUGCGAAGGCAGCUUUCUGGAUCAUUACCGACACUGAGGAACGAAAGCAUGGGUAGCGAAGAGGAUUAGAUACCCUCGUAGUCCAUGCCGUAAACGAUGUGUGUUAGACGUUGGAAAUUUAUUUUCAGUGUCGCAGCGAAAGCGAUAAACACACCGCCUGGGGAGUACGACCGCAAGGUUAAAACUCAAAUGAAUUGACGGGGACCCGCACAAGUAGUGGAGCAUGUGGUUUAAUUCGAAGAUACGCGCAGAACCUUACCAACACUUGACAUGUUCGUCGCGACUCUAAGAGAUUAGAGUUUUCGGUUCGGCCGGACGAAACACAGGUGCUGCAUGGCUGUCGUCAGCUCGUGUCGUGAGAUGUUGGGUUAAGUCCCGCAACGAGCGCAACCCUCACUUUUAGUUGCCAUCAUUAAGUUGGGCACUCUGAAAGAACUGCCAGUGAUAAGCUGGAGGAAGGUGGGGAUGACGUCAAGUCCUCAUGGCCCUUACGUGUUGGGCUACACACGUGCUACAAUGGUAUCUACAACAGGAAGCAAGACUGCGAGGUCAAGCAAAUCCUUAAAAGAUACCUCAGUUCGGAUUGCACUCUGCAACUCGAGUGCAUGAAGCUGGAAUUACUAGUAAUCGUGGAUCAGCGUGCCACGGUGAAUGCGUUCCCGGGUCU